rnacentral:rRNA from 1 species
CCUACGGGGAGCAGCAGUCGAGAAUCAUUCACAAUGGGGGAAACCCUGAUGGUGCGACGCCGCGUGGGGGAAUGAAGGUCUUCGGAUUGUAAACCCCUGUCAUGUGGGAGCAAAUUAAAAAGAUAGUACCACAAGAGGAAGAGACGGCUAACUCUGUGCCAGCAGCCGCGGUAAUACAGAGGUCUCAAGCGUUUGUCGGAAUCACUGGGCGGAAAGCGUGCGUAGGCUGUGUCGUAAGUCGUGUGUGAAAGGCGCGGGCUCAACCCGCGGACGGCACAUGUUACUGCGAGACUAGAGUAAUGGAGGGGGAACCGGAAUUCUCGGUGUAGCAGUGAAAUGCGUAGAUAUCGAGAGGAACACUCGGGGCGAAGGCGGGUUCCUGGACAUUAACUGACGCUGAGGCACGAAGGCCAGGGGAGCGAAAGGGAUUAGAUACCCGAGUAGUC